ACACUCCUACGGGAGGCAGCAGUGGGGAAUAUUGGACAAUGGGCGCAAGCCUGAUCCAGCCAUGCCGCGUGAGUGAUGAAGGCCCUAGGGUUGUAAAGCUCUUUCACCGGUGAAGAUAAUGACGGUAACCGGAGAAGAAGCCCCGGCUAACUUCGUGCCAGCAGCCGCGGUAAUAAGAAGGGGGCUAGCGUUGUUCGGAUUUACUGGGCGUAAAGCGCACGUAGGCGGACUAUUAAGUCAGGGGUGAAAUCCCGGGGCUCAACCCCGGAACUGCCUUUGAUACUGGUAGUCUUGAGUUCGAGAGAGGUGAGUGGAAUGCUGAGUGUAGAGGUGAAAUUCGUAGAUAUUCGGAGGAACACCAGUGGCGAAGGCGGCUCACUGGCUCGAUACUGACGCUGAGGUGCGAAAGCGUGGGGAGCAAACAGGAUUAGAAACCCGAGUAGUCCCAUGA
rnacentral:rRNA from 1 species